UUUACCCUGGAGUGUUUGUCAGAGGAUUUAAGUCCCUGAGCCGAUAAGCAACAACCCAGGAUUGGUACUUGAAAACUAUUGAGCAAGCUCGGCUAGUACCGAGAAGCCUACGGUUUUCAUUGCGGAUCCGCCUUGAACUCGCUGGUUCAUAGGUCCAUCAAUUCUCAACGGCACUUUGGGGUAUUC
rfam:Vibrio rumoiensis 1S-45 1S-45_contig_153, whole genome shotgun sequence.